GAUUAUGGCUCAGGAUGAACGCUAGCGGCAGGCUUAACACAUGCAAGUCGAGGGGUAACAGGGAGUAGCAAUACUCCGCUGACGACCGGCGCACGGGUGCGUAACGCGUAUGCAACCUACCUGUAACAGGGGGAUAACGGAGAGAAAUUUCCACUAAUACCCCAUAUGGUCAGAGAAUCGCAUGUUUUUCUGACGAAAGCUUCGGUGGUUACGGAUGGGCAUGCGUGACAUUAGCUAGUUGGUGGGCAACGGCCCACCAAGGCGACGAUGUCUAGGGGAGCUGAGAGGCUUAUCCCCCACACUGGUACUGAGACACGGACCAGACUCCUACGGGAGGCAGCAGUGAGGAAUAUUGGUCAAUGGACGGAAGUCUGAACCAGCCAUGCCCGCGUGGAGGAAGAAGGUCCUAUGGGUUGUAAACUCCUUUUGUUCCGGAGUAAUAAGGUCUUUGCGAAGACCGAUGAGAGUACGGGACGAAUAAGCAUCGGCUAACUCCGUGCCAGCCGCGGC
rnacentral:rRNA from 1 species